UCGUUACCAUUUUCCACUUCAGUUUUGCCCAUGAGUGUAUCCUAAAGAAUUACAGAGAAUCCACAGUAUUGAACAAUUGAAACCGCAUAAAAAAGUCGAUAGACGAGUGGGUAACACCCUCGAUUCCAGACAGUCAUGAACUUAGCAUUCAUUAUUACAUAUUGUUCAUAUUGUAUUGUUACAUAUUGCAAUGUUCUCAUAUUCAGUAAUCGAUGCCUUGCUCCGUUACUUCAUUGAGUAAAGCUGCCAGGGAUUCUCCGUUGUAGCCACCAUCAUAUAUUAAAAGUUGCUUAACUUCGUGUUUUAUGUUUACUAAAAUACAACUUUAAAAAGCCUUGUAAAAAUAUAUGCUAUAAAUAUGUAAAUAUGUUUUUUCGCAUCGCAGUUAUCAACUCGAAGCUUGCGGCGGCCAAUGUAACAAGCCAGCGUCGCCAUCUAUUAACAAAACUUGUAACUAUUUUAGUAAAAUUUGUUUUAAUUUUCUCUGCUAAUAAAAGAAACGGAAUAGAAAUCGACCCCAGCGCUCUCAAGCCCCAUCCGUCCUAGGGGUGGGAUGAAAUACAUUUCUGGAAACAAAUUUUAUCUUAAACUCCUGGAAUAUUUCAGAUAGUAUUCAAAUUUGAAAUACAUUUCCGCCACAGAAAGUCUUUAAUUAGGUGAUUAACUUUUGCCAGCCUGGGGCGAUAUAAAAUGCAAAGAAUCUGGACAGCCCACCUGUCACUUUGCUAACUGGUACCUAAAAUCUGUAGACGGAAUCGCCUCGUCUAAUCAUAACUUGUUUCUUACAUGCUCAAUUGUUAACCCUCAUUAGAAAAACCCUUUAGACUUUGACAUAGAUACAAGGAGUUACAGGGAAUUCGAUUUCUCUACCCAGCGCAUGUUUCUAAGCUCGUCCAUCGGUGAAUUUGUUCCAGGCUGCGCAAUAUUUAAAAGAGCUCCCAACGUGCCGAUCCUUUCCAACCUCCCGACUGGAUCACCCUCAUUUCAGCCACGCUUAAAGCGUCGUAAACUACGAUGUCAGCUCGGUUAUCCGAGGUUUGUCGUUAAGCAUCUUGCUUACGACAUCGGCUACUAAAUCUCCCCACCUAGCACAAAGUUCACCUGGUACCUCUCCGCUUCCUCUAAAGAGGAGGGGACUUGCAGACUUCUGGCCUGACCGUGGCCUUCCACAAAUACCCUAGUCUGAGAAUCGAGACAUGGUCACUGCCUACGAUUCUUAGAAUUCAAGUUGAUAUGAUGAAAUAGGGUGAUUGAUUACCCUAAUAAUAGAAAUCAAACUUAUACUCCCAUAGGAGGAGACCUAACAAAAUGGAGCGAAUUCCUUUCCUAACAAUAGAGUUGUACAGUCCUGUGAGGCCAUUCGAUCCUAACAAAUAAAGAAAUCAAAAUUAAAAAUUGAAUCUAUUGGUUCCCUGACCCUAUUCUAAUGUAUUUUGGGCUCACAAUAUAAUAGUUUUUAACCUUCUUCUACAUUUAUUCCCCUUCACAUUCACACAAUUUAGUCACUGAGGGCAUUCAUCCUAAGGUUAGAAGCUGCUAUAGACGCCAAAACACUCAAUUGUUUCUAUCAAAUAGACCCUUACAAUAAUAAAAUCUUCUAGGACUAAUGUGAAAUCAAAUAAAGUCAUCUAAUUAAAACAGAGUGGGGACUAAAGCCCUAUUAACUUAAAUAAAUGCCUCAUACAAACUCUAUAUAAAUUAUCUAAUCAUAGAUAAAUAUUAUUUAUAAAUUAACAGAUAAAUGAAUCAAACUAUGUUGAUUGUCAACAAUUGUAUUCUGAAAUCUAGCCUAUCACUUUAACUGUGUGUCUAACAGUUUGAAAAUCUUCUUACCUUGACACUUGGUGUCUAAAUAAACGAAUCAUCAAGACUAGCACUUAAAUGGAGCGAACUGUACUUCAAGCAUUUGCCUCAUUGCCAAACCUGAUAGACCCACAAGUGUUUUUUCCAACCCUAUUUCUUAUAUAGGUCAUUGGCAUUCUUCUUUUCCUCUGCUAUUCAGCUAAACUCUUUCUUUGGACUUAUAGGGUUUUCAGUACCCAGCUCGUUCUGGAGUUUAACAACUGAGGUUACUUGUUGCUCUAUCAUAUCAAAUCUUAGACUGUAAUUGCCUUACACACUCUCAUUAGAGAUUCUCCUUGGACUAUAAUUGGAUCCAGGGAUUACAGGGAGUCAAGUUUUACCCAACGCAAGCUCCAAGUCAUUCCAUAGAGAAUUGGUUACAAGCACAGCAAUUAUCUAAUGCGUCUAAGUCCCUUAAUUGUUUUUAAAGUUGAACCACUGUUCAGGACCUUCAAAAAAAAAUUAAAACAAAAUAAACUUUUUGAACUCACGACUUAAAUCACAAUUUGCUAUUAACACAGAAUAGCCUCUGCAAUAAAAAAAAACUGAAAAUCCUUUAAGGCCACAAUCUAGGGCCAUUAACUCACACUCUAAUACUUCAUACUAUGAUCAAAAAUUUAACUAACUCUAGUACACAUUCUAUAGGUUUAAUCAUUGGCAACCUGGACAUGAUUUGCACUCAAUGGGCCUCUUGACCCUGGUUGAACGGCGUAAUUCAGGGCCGUCAAUAUUGUUACCAUUUGCCCUAUUUACUACCUCAGGCGGGUUUCCUAAGGUUGCUGUCUCUCGAGGUUCCCCUGGUUCUACAGUUCUAUGGGAAUGUAUGGGAUACGUUGGAUGUACCCAGUGAUCCUCAUCAUCAAUGAUACUAUCUAUUUGUUCUUGUGCGUUUUCGUCCCCCGUAGGGUAAGUCUUUACCGGGGCAUGAUAGGCCUUCAUUCUGUCUAUGUGAAUCUUGUCUAAGUGCCCCGUCUCCAAAUCCUUCAAAAGGUAAACAGUGUCGCCUGUCCUUUGUAGUACCUCAUAUGGUCCUCUAUACCUUGGCUCAAAUUUGUGAUGUUCUUUCGUCUCAUGCAUUCUCUUUACCAAAGCUAGAUUCCCUGUCUCAAAGGUCCUUAAUUCUCUAGCUUCAAACUCAGCCCUGGCUUCUUGUUGCUCCUUCAAGUAAGUCUGCCUCACCACCUCUCUCGCCUUUUCAACCUCCUCCACCAAUUCCCGCUCAUAGAAGGCCGCCAUUUCGGUAAUUGAAUCUUCGCAUACAGGAUUAAGCUCCUCUUCCUGGAAAGGUUGUGGGAGCCUCAGCUCAUGUCCGAAGACCAGUUUCGCUGGAGUAAAUCCAGUACUAGAGUGUACAGUGGUCCUGAUAGCUAAGGCUAUCAUUGGUAAGGUGGUAUCCCAAUUGUUCCCCCCUGUACACCUGCGUAGAGAUUCUAUUACCGUCCUAUUGAGCCUUUCUACGGCGCCAUUACUCUGAGGUCUCCAGGCCGUGGUAUUUACUGCUCCAACCCCCAUAGCUUUGCAGACUCCCUUGAAUACGCAACUCAUGAAUGCUGAUCCUCGGUCAGAGAGUAUCGUUUUUGGUACCCCAAAGGUAGUGAUUAUCCUUUCCAACAAGGCCCUAACCACUGUAUUGGCACACUGGUCCUUAGUAGGAAUCAGGAUUGGGAACUUAGUGAAAAGAUCCACAAUGGUCAGAAUACUCGAAUAACCCCGUGGGGUUACUUCUAACGGUCCUAUGAAGUCUAGAGCCAGGUGCUCAAAGGGUUUUUUCGGGUCUAAAGUGGGGAGCACUAGCGGCUUUGGCUACGCCUUGAUUCGAUAGCUGGCAGCUCUCGCAUCUGCGUAUAUAUUUCCGGACUUGUGUCCUCAUGCCAGGCCAGUAAUAGUCACCCUUCAGCCUUCUCAUAACCUUUCUAACUCCAAAAUGACCUCCAGUAGCGAUGUCAUGAUGAUAGCUGAUCACUGUUUCCCUAAAACCUGUAGGAACCACCUUCACCCAGGUACCCCUUUCAUUCUUUGUAACGAGGUAUUUGUCUAGUAACCUAUAUUCCCGGUUAUUAUACCUCUCCGUGCUAUUUGGUUUUAAUUUCGUUAACUUAUUCAUUACUGGGGCCCAUCCUUUCUCUUGAAGUAAACCUUCCCAUAUCUGAUUACUAUUUAAUAAGGGGGGCCGACGGUCCCUUACCACCGCGGCCACUACCCUCCUAUCUUGUGGCAGGUUUGGAUCAUCCUCGCACGGGAACCUACUAAGGAAGUCGGCUACCGUGUUUUCCUUCCCCGGGACAUAAAUGAAUGUAACGUUGAAGUCCUGGAUGAUCUCUGCCCACCUAGACAGUCUGGCGUUCUUAUAAUCAGACCCCUUAUUAUAAGUAAUCGGUUUAUGGUCAGUAUGUACUUCUACUCUACUGCCCGCCAGGAGGUGUUUGAAGUGCUGUAGGGACAACACUACUGCAUAAGCCUCCUUUUCUAUUGUGGAAUAGCGGAUCUCAGGACCAGUCAGUCUCUUGCUAUAAUAAGCAAUUGGCCUCACUGUCCCAUUGACCUCCUGUUGGAGGCAAGCGCCCACCGCUAUCCCACUGGCGUCAGUGUUCAGGAUGAAAGGCAUCCCAAUUGUUGGGUGAAUUAGUAGUGGCUCGCUGGUUAAUAUUCCCUUCACCGUUUCAAAGGCUGACUGCUCUAUCAUACCCCAAGCAAAUCUAUGUCCCUUCCUUAAUAGGUUGCUCAGUGGAGCCAGGACCUCACCUGCGUUGGGAAUAAAGCGUCGGUAGUAGUUAACUGUACCCAAUAGACUUCUGACUGCCUUGAUGUUAUGAGGCCGUUUCAAAUCCCUGAGAGCGGCGACAUUAUCCCACAUGGGUUUGAUCCCAUUUUGGUCGAUUAUAUGACCCAGGUACUCUACUGAGUCCCUGAAGAGAUAGCUCUUCCCGUAUUUGGCCUUCAAACCGAACUUACUCAGGCGUUCGAGUACAGCGGCGAGGUCCGCUACACGCUGCUCGUGAGAGUCGCUGUAGACAAUGACGUCAUCGAUGUACAGGCGAACGCAUUUGAACAACAAGUCACCCAGGACCAAAUUCAUGGCCCACUGGAAGACUUGUGCCGAGUUUUUAGCUCCUUGUGGCAAACGCGUGAAGCGGUAUCUUCCCCAGGGCAGAGAGAAGGUAGAAUAAUCUCUGUAACUCUCCGGGAUGUGUAUCUGGAAGAAUCCAGAAGUCAGAUCUAAUGUGCUGAAGACUUUUGCACCCGCAAAUGCGCGCAGAUUGUCUUCAACACGGGGUAUCGGGAACGGGAAGAAUUCAGUUGCCUCAUUGAUCAUACGUAGAUCCAUGGUGAUGCGAACACUACCAUCAGUUUUGGCAACCGGGAAUAGAGGGGAAUUCCACAGAGAGGUGCUCCCUUCUAUUAUCCCUACUUCCUCCAGUUCGUCUACUAACGCUUUCACCUUUGAGACUAAUCUGUUCGGGAUUGGAUAUUGCCUCCUAUAUACUGGUUUACUAGUCAGCAUCCUCAGUUUAGGGGCUGUGAUGGUGGAGCCAUUCCCCAUAUCUUUUAUAUCAUUGCAAAAGCAAUGACUGAAGGCCCUGAAAAUAUCGUGGCCCGUGUGGAUCUCGUUUAGGGGUAUCCUGGGUGGCAGAGGAGACAUUUCUAUCGUUUGUAGAGAGGAAAGAAAGGCCGACUUGGUCGGAUCCUCCCUCCUUUCGUAGUCGGACCUAAUACUACCGUCGUAGCAAAGGUGUAGUUUUAGAGCUCGGAAACCUGGUAAUCCGAGUAUGCCAUCAAAUCCUAACUCCCCCAUGUGACAAUACUCGAAGGUUGUCCUUACCUCCCUAAUGGGCUUACCGUUCACCACUGCCCCUAUUUCCAACACCUCACUCCUUAAUGACCUUAAAGAUUUUCCUGAUAUACCUUUAAGGUAAGUAGGCUUGUCUAGUCCCUCAGUGCAUACAUUUAAAUUGUCAAUAUUUACAAUGUUGGCCUCAGAGCCUGAAUCUAGGAUAAAUUUUAGACACUUCUCGUCCAGAGACCUCCCUUUUUUCAAAAUAUAUACAUUUAUGGCAGGUAAACUGGCCGCAAAUCCCCCUCCUGCCUUGAGGCAAGCCGGACCUAGUUUUUUCUCUGCUUCUGCUGGCAGUCUCGGAUGAGGUGCCCUGGCUCGCCGCACCCAUAGCACUUGGGGGGCGGUCUCCCUGCACCCUGCUUCUUGUAGUCCACUCCAGGGUUCUCCUCUCUUUCACCGUUGGGUUCCCUCCUUUGUUGUCUAUGCGGGGAUGGAUUCCGUUGUUGUCUGGGUGGUUGUUGUGCUGGUCUCCUCUGCCAGUUCCUGAAGGGGGCUCCCCUCCUGUUAUCCUGGGCGUUGUCUCCGUAAUCCCUUCUCCCUGCGGGGUGUGAUGGCCACCUUCCUCCCCCGCUAUUUGCAUUAUUGGCACCCCCUCUUUGUCUUCUAAGGGCUGCAUUCUCUACUUCUAGCGCCUCCAUUUUCUUCUCCAGCUCGGCCAAUUUGUUGCCCAUGUCACCCAGCCUCUGACCGUUCCUGUCGGCGCUGGAGCGCUGCGCUUCCCUGUAGUCUUCCUCUCUCUGUUCCAGCCACUGUAGCUUGGUAACUAGGGUCUCCCAGGGCUCGCCUUGAUAUAGAUGAGCCUUCUCCCACAGGCUGGGGCAGAGUCCGUCGGUGAAAACCUCCGCGAUCUCCGAGGUGCCUAUCUUCAGGCCAUCCGACUCUGCUCCAGCUGCAAGGUCGCUCACCCGCGCGGCGAAGUCUCGUACCUUCUCCCCGGCCCCUUGUCUACAUGAGAAGAACUGGCUCCUCCUUUUACCCCUUUUACUCCCCUCUAGACUCUCCUUCAACUCUUCGUAUCCGAGGCGGAUUUGUUGAGAUUGUAGGGCAAACUCCCUCGCAGCCCCCCGGAGGUGGUUGUCCAAGAGGAUUCUUUUCCUGGCGUCGUCUAGGGCCUUUAGGUCGUAGACAAGCUCAAAGUCCUUUAUGAAUUUCGUGAAGGGGACAAUGCCCUUCCCUUCAAACUUCUCCAGGUUGUAUAGCAUGGAGGGCAGCUGGGCUUGGCUAGUUGCGGCAUUCUCUUCAUCAGCAGGCAUGGUCCUCAGUUGUUGGAUCUACAGGAACUAGGUAUUAGUCAUUCACCCUGGUUGUAACGGGAGUAUUAGGACCCAUAGAGGCGGGCGGAGUAGGGAACACAAAACAGAAGGAAGGGGAGGGGCCUUUCUUAAUCAUGUUCCUAAGACACUAUGGGGUUCACGUUUCAAAAGGAAAUUGGUAUUCAAUAACAUAGAAACCAUACAUGUAUGUGUGUGUGGAUGUGAACGCAAACAUCGCGUUGGGUAAAAAUGAAGAUCCUGUAAAAGAAAUCCGAGUGAUGUGGACGCAAACAUCGCGUUGUGUAAAUGGAGACUCUCUAUAAAAGAAAUCCGAGUGAUGAGAACGCAAACAUCGCGUUGUAAAAAAAAAGAAGAUUCUAUAAAAGAAACCCGAGUGAUGUGAACGCAAACAUCGCGUUGUAAAAAAAAAUGAUUCUAUAAAAGAAACCCGAGUGAUGUGAACGCAAACAUCGCGUUGUGAAAAUUGAAGGUUCUAUAAAAGAAAUCCGAGUGAUGUGAACGCAAACAUCGCGUUGUGAAAAAAUGAAGAUUCUAUAAAAGAAACCUGAGUGAUGUGAACGCAAACAUCGCGUUGUGAAAAUGGAGAUUCUAUAAAAGAAACCCGAGUGAUGUGAACGCUAACAUCGCGUUGUAAAAUAAAUGAAGAUUCUAUAAAAGAAACCUGAGUGAUGUGAACGCAAACAUCCCGUUGUGAAAAUUGAAGGUUCUAUAAAAGAAAUCCGAAUGAUGUGAACGCAAACAUCGCGUUGUGAAAAAUGAAGAUUCUAUAAAAGUGAACAAAAUAAAAAAAAUUGACCCAUAAAACGACUGUACAUCAUUACAAAGGCAUAAAAUAGGGAUUGUUCAUCAUUAUUAUGCAUUGACGAUCUUUUGAGAAAUGUUUAACUCGUGGCGAUUACCCGCCGAGUAUAACGUAUUUUUAAAGUGGGUGGAAGACAAUUUCGAAAAAAAAAGUAUAAAAUUACACGUGUGUAAAAAUAUGUAAAAAGGCGUCGUGAACAGAUAAAGAAAUUUUCGACUCAAAAUGAUUAUUCAUCACUACAAUAUAUUUUAAAAGUGAACAAAAUAAAAAAAAAUUGUCCCACAAGACAAUUGUGCAUCAUUACUACUCAUUUCUAGACAUUCAAACAAAGCUUUUAUCAAAAAUCAUGAAAAUACACAAAGAUGGGCGUAUUUAAACGUUGAAUAUUUCUUUGAAAUUAUGAGAAAGUUGGACAAAAGGCAUAAAAUAGGGAUUGUUCAUCAUUAUUAUGCAUUUUUGUUUUAGGCUUAAUGUAAAUCGUGGUAGAGCAUGAGAUUUUUUUAUUUCAGGUCGUGGGGUUUACUUCGUGUAAAGUUGCUUUACACUUUUCAACAGUAACUUGCCUCGCGUGGGCGCCAAAUGUUAGAUCCGUUCUAACUCAGUGGUUGUAUCCAGAUUUAUACAUGAAGGAAACAUGUUACACACCAAGAAUACACACCUGUUUUAUAAUUUGAUUAAGGAUAAAAAUACUGCCAAUACACUUUGUAAACGCUAAACAUCUAAUUUUAUUUAGCUCUGUAGAUUUGCAGCAUUACAUUUCAAGGACAAUUUUGCGUGGACAAGAUCAGUGAUUGCACCCAGAUUUAUACAUGAAGGAAACAUGUUACACACCAAGAAUACACACAUGUUUUGUAUUUUGAUUAAAAAAAUAUCACCAGUUUACUUUAAAAAUGCUAAACAUGAAAUUUUAUUUAUCAUUGUGGAAUUUAUAGAGCUUCUUUUUCUAUUUGUAGAUAGCAAUGAACAAAAAAAAAAUUGUAUUGAACAUUAAAUUUUAUUCAUCUUUAUAGAAAUUUAUACGAGAAAAUUCCUUAUUUGUAGGCAGCAAAAUUUUACCAACAGCCUAUAAUUUGAUAAUUCUAUCAAAUUACCACGUUUAGAUAACAUGAUCAAUCGAUAAUAAUUAAUACCUUUAAGAAAACAUAAGGUUGAAACCUCAAUUCAUCUUAUAUCUUAAAUAGUCGAGUCUAUCUAAAUUUAGUAUUUGCCAUGGUUUUUACCAUGUUUUCUAUAUGAACUCGUUAUGUCAAAAUUUAAGUUGACUUACCAGAUAUCCUUUCUACAUACGCCUUUCAAGCCCCCAUGGCCCCAGAACGUCUCUCCUCUCCUGAUAAAAAUUCGAUCCGCUGCCGCUGAAAACUUGAUCAAGACUGCCCUGUUUUCAAACAGCGCCCCCAGUGUAAAAAUUUUCCUACAGAGUAAUAAAACUUAUACAUAUAACUAUUCUUAGAAUAUUUAAAAAGAAAAUAAUAUUAUUAUUAAUUUUAAAAGAGAAAAUUUUUGGAAUAAAAAUAAUAUUAUUAUUUUUUUUUUUUAAGAGAAAAUUUGAAAUUAUACAUAUACAUGCUUAACCUACGAGAUUUAUUAAUAAUUUCUUCUUCAAGAAAUUUAAAUAACUAGACACACCUAUUUUAUCUAGUUAUGUAUGUGGCUGAUUUUAUCCAUUUUAGAAUAAAAUAAAUAUUAAAGAAAAUUUAAAUUAACUUUCUUAUCGAGAGAUAAUUUAGAUUAGUAAUGAAAUAAAAAUAAAAUCUAUCAUGUUUGCCCCUCUGAGAAACCUACAUAAUAAUUUCUUCUUUAAGAAAUUCUAAAAAAUACUAAAUAUGUCCAAUCUAUCUAAAUGUGAUAUCAUAAGUUAUAUACAAAAUUAAAAAAAAGGUGAAGAGGUAGGCUGGUUUAACAAAGAAGAAUGCUCGAAGUCCUCUUCUUUCUUGUCGAGGCAGCUUCUCCAUUGUCCACCAGCUUUCCAUUUACACUGUGGGUGAACUUUAAAGGCAUAGGCAUCAUCUCCAACUGAAUGUCUCCCCGGUUCCUGGUCUUCCUCUGGUUCUGUUUGCAUCGGGCUUCUGGCUACUUAAACAGGGCCGAUGUCAUCUUCCUACAGCAGAU